GUAGGGUGCAAGCGUUGUCCGGAAUUAUUGGGCGUAAAGAGCUCGUAGGCGGUCUGUCGCGUCGGCUGUGAAAACUCGGGGCUCAACCCCGAGCCUGCAGUCGAUACGGGCAGACUAGAGUGCUGUAGGGGAGACUGGAAUUCCUGGUGUAGCGGUGAAAUGCGCAGAUAUCAGGAGGAACACCGGUGGCGAAGGCGGGUCUCUGGGCAGUAACUGACGCUGAGGAGCGAAAGCGUGGGGAGCGAACAGGAUUAGAUACCCUGGUAGUCCACGCCGUAAACGGUGGGUGCUAGGUGUGAGCGGUAUUCCACGCCGUUCGUGCCGCAGCUAACGCAUUAAGCACCCCGCCUGGGGAGUACGGCCGCAAGGCUA
rnacentral:rRNA from 1 species